GGCGCACGGGUGAGUAACACGUAGCUGACCUGCCCUUCGCAGGGGGAUAACCCACCGAAAGGUGAGCUAAUACCGCGUAAGCUGGAAGAGGCUAGAGGCUUUUCCAGGAAAGUUUUUAACGGCGAAGGAGGGGGCUGCGGUCCAUCAGCUGGCUGGUGAGGUAAUGGCUCACCAGGGCGAUGACGGAUAGGGGGCCUGAGAGGGUGACCCCCCACACUGGAACUGAGACACGGUCCAG
rnacentral:rRNA from 1 species